rnacentral:tRNA from 1 species
GCGGGCAUCGUAUAAUGGCUAUUACCUCAGCCUUCCAAGCUGAUGAUGGGGUUCGAUUCCCGCUGCCCGCUCCA